rnacentral:rRNA from 1 species
UUUUUAGAGAGUUUGAUCCUGGCUCAGGACGAACGCUGGCGGCGUGCCUAACACAUGCAAGUCGAACGGAGUUGAAAGGAGCUUGCUUUUUUCAACU